rnacentral:rRNA from 1 species
ACGAACGCUGGCGGCAUGCCUAACACAUGCAAGUCGAGGGGCUCUUCGGAGUCACUGGCGCACGGGUGAGUAACACGUAGGUCAUCUACCCCUAUCACAGACAUAACCCCGGGAAACCGGGGCUAAUAUCUGAUGAGGUCGCGAGAUCAAAGCUUCGGCGGAUAGGGAUGAGCCUGCGGCUGAUUAGCUAGUUGGUGAGGUAAUGGCUCACCAAGGCGACGAUCAGUAGCUGGUCUGAGAGGACGAACAGCCACACUGGAACUGAGACACGGUCCAGACUCCUACGGGAGGCAGCAGUGAGGAAUAUUGGUCAAUGGGAGCAAUCCUGAACCAGCAAUGCCGCGUGUGGGAUGAAGGCGCUUCGCGUCGUAAACCACUGUCGGACGGGACGAAAAGAGCUAUAAAGCUCCGAGACGGUACCGUCAAAGGAAGGAUCGGCUAACUACGU